rnacentral:rRNA from 1 species
CGGACGGGUGAGUAACGCGUGAGAAUCUGCCUUCAGGUCUGGGACAACCACUGGAAACGGUGGCUAAUACCGGAUGUGCCGAGAGGUGAAAGGUUAACUGCCUGAAGAUGAGCUCGCGUCUGAUUAGCUAGUUGGCAGUGUAAGAGACUACCAAGGCGACGAUCAGUAGCUGGUCUGAGAGGACGAUCAGCCACACUGGGACUGAGACACGGCCCAGACUCCUACGGGAGGCAGCAGUGGGGAAUUUUCCGCAAUGGGCGAAAGCCUGACGGAGCAAUACCGCGUGAGGGAGGAAGGCUCUUGGGUCGUAAACCUCUUUUCUCAGGGAAGAACAAAAUGACGGUACCUGAGGAAUAAGCAUCGGCUAACUCCGUGCCAGCAGCCGCGGUAAUACGGAGGAUGCAAGCGUUAUCCGGAAUGAUUGGGCGUAAAGCGUCCGCAGGUGGCAAUGUAAGUCUGCUGUUAAAGCGUCUAGCUCAACUAGAUACAAGCAGUGGAAACUACAUCGCUAGAGUGCGUUCGGGGCAGAGGGAAUUCCUGGUGUAGCGGUGAAAUGCGUAGAGAUCAGGAAGAACACCGGUGGCGAAGGCGCUCUGCUAGGCCGCAACUGACACUGAGGGACGAAAGCUAGGGGAGCGAAUGGGAUUAGAUACCCCAGUAGUC